rnacentral:rRNA from 1 species
GAUGAACGCUGGCGGCGUGCUUAACACAUGCAAGUCGAACGGAAAGGCCCAAGCUUGCUUGGGUACUCGAGUGGCGAACGGGUGAGUAACACGUGGGUGAUCUGCCCUGCACUUCGGGAUAAGCCUGGGAAACUGGGUCUAAUACCGGAUAGGACCACUUCUUGGAUGUUGUGGUGGAAAGUUUUUUCGGUGUGGGAUGAGCUCGCGGCCUAUCAGCUUGUUGGUGGGGUAAUGGCCUACCAAGGCGUCGACGGGUAGCCGGCCUGAGAGGGUGUACGGCCACAUUGGGACUGAGAUACGGCCCAGACUCCUACGGGAGGCAGCAGUGGGGAAUAUUGCACAAUGGGCGCAAGCCUGAGGCAGCGACGCCGCGUGGGGGAUGACGGCCUUCGGGUUGUAAACUCCUUUCGCUAGGGACGAAGCGUUUUUGUGACGGUACCUGGAGAAGAAGCACCGGCUAACUACGUG